CCUGAUUUAGAAGGUCACAUGGAAAUUUCAACUGACUCAGACAUUUAAUGAAAAUGUCCAUCAAAUACCUCUCAUUUGAUAUUAGCAGUGGCCUCUGGGUGCUGAUUUGGCAGUGCAGUUCUGUUACUGAGGUUGCCACUUAGCCCUGUGUUACUGACUUUCUGUUGCUCUCUUGAAGGUGGGAAACUGAAGAUGAUAAAGGCCCUGUGGUUAUUCUAGAGUUUGAGAACAACUGAUAAUGGUUGCCCACCAUAACUAAAUGGUGAGAUCCCACAGUAAAUGGACUUACUAAGGAAAACCAAACCAUGAACAACAAUUUUGAGAACUGAGUUGCUUACUACCAGUAGAUAAGAAUGGACUCCUGUAUGCCCUUGUCUUCAUUUGAGCUUGGCUUGACAGAUAGGAAGACAAAAGUAUAUCCUAGAUUUACAUCACAAGUGCCUCUGUCCAGGUUUCACUGAAAAUAUAAGGACUGGGAUCUCAAGAACAUCAACAGCUACCAACAAAUGGGAACAUUUUGUCCAUUGUGAUUUUUUUCCAUUGUGUGUCUGGCUAUUCAACAAACACAUCAGUGUAGAAUUCCAGCUGAUGAUUUCUCUAUAAGUGGUAAUUCUCAAACCUGAUGUUCAACUUUUCUCUUUAAAUUUCUACCACCUCCAUCAUUAUUCCCACCACCAUUAUUAUGUCAGCCAAACAGUUUCUUCUUCUUCCCAAGGAAAAUUGAUUGAAAUGAUAACCAUUCCCUUAAGGAGUGACGUGUCAUCUCUGCUUCAGACUAUAUGACUGCCAUCAUUUCUGCUCCUUUUGAAACAACAAAAAUCUUCCAAGGGCCUUGAAGAAGAUGGCUUGAAAACAUGGAAAGUCAUUUUGAGAUACUUGACAUUCCAUAGGAAAGGACAUACAUUUUUGCAUCCCAUGAAGAGAGCCAUUUUCUUGAUGGUAUAGAGAGAAUAAAAUCCAGCAUGAGAGGCUAAUCCCAAAGUACAAUAAAGCCAUGACUCCCUGGGG